UACGUAGGGCGCAAGCGUUGUCCGGAAUUAUUGGGCGUAAAGAGCUCGUAGGUGGCUUGUCACGUCGGGUGUGAAAGCUUGGGGCUUAACUCCAGGUCUGCAUUCGAUACGGGCUGGCUAGAGGUAGGUAGGGGAGAACGGAAUUCCUGGUGUAGCGGUGAAAUGCGCAGAUAUCGGGAGGAACACCGGUGGCGAAGGCGGGACUCUGGGCCUACCCUGACGCUGAGGCGCGAAGGCGUGGGGAGCAAACGGGG
rnacentral:rRNA from 1 species